rnacentral:rRNA from 1 species
AGAAUCAACGCUGGCGGCGUGCCUCAGACAUGCAAGUCGAACGAUUAAAGCUCUCUUCGGAGAGUGUAUAGAGUGGCGCACGGGUGAGUAACACGUAAGUAAUCUACCUUUGAGUGGGGAAUAACAUCGGGAAACCGAUGCUAAUACCGCAUAAUGCAGCGCAUCGCAAGAUGACAGUUGUUAAAGAUUUAUCGCUUGAAGAGGAGCUUGCGGCAGAUUAGCUAGUUGGUAAGGUAAUGGCUUACCAAGGCUACGAUCUAGUAACCGGUCUAAGAGGACGGUCGUACACGACUGACACGUAGAAUAACGGGUCAGACCUCCGUAACGGGAGG